GCCUGGCUGGCUCAGUCAGAAGAGCACGGGACUUGUGAUCUCCUGGGUGUGAGUUCGAGCCCCAUGCUGGGUG
rnacentral:tRNA from 1 species